rnacentral:rRNA from 1 species
AUGCUCAGAGGCCUCCAAGAGUACAUGUUGCUACUGCACCUGAACCAAGACCAGCUACAGCAAGAGCUACAACUUCUGCACCUUCACCAGCUCCAGUUGCUACUUCUAGGGGGAAAAAGGGCUGCUUCAACUAUUACAGCAGCAAUUGCACAAGGAGCACCAGCUAAGAGGAGCAGGCCUAAAACUUCUUCUGCUGCUAACACUUCUUCUCCUGCUAAGAACACCACAUCAUCUACAGCUUCUCCUGCUAAGAACACCAGAUCUUCAAGUGCCCAGAGAAGAACUUUCAUUGCACCAAGGCAAUCAAAUUCAACUGUUGUCCAGGAGGGGUCAAAGAGGAUCAGGAAGCCAAGUGGGAGGCUGAAAGACUAUUUUUAUGCAAGUGGUAACUAG